ACACACACAAACACAUAACACACGCACACACACAGCACAUCUCGCCUCUCUCUCUCACUCAGUCCUGUUCUCUCUCUCUCUCCCGACUCUCUCUCUGCUCGGUCGAGUGCGGCGCCGCCUCCGGCGCGCCACCUCGCCGAGCACCUCUCUUCCCCCUCUCAUCUCUCUGACCUCCUCCGUCCGCCUCCCUCUCUCUUCAAGAAACGCACACACACAGCACAUCUCAUCUCUCUCCCUCUCCUCGUUUCUGCCGCCGCCGCCCGAGAUCGGCGAAGGUCCGGCAUAUCGCCGUCGUCCUGCUCCUGUCCCGGUGAAUCGACGGCAGCCGCGCCUCCUCACGGCCCAUACCCUCUCGGUAUCUCUCUCUCUCUUCCUGCUCGCGGUGGGCAGUCACCCCGGCGACCACAGUGCCGCCGCGACGACCUCAUCAGCACCGCUGCCUGCUCUUCUUUCUCCCCCUCGGCCGGUCGAGCAACGGCAUCCCGAAGGGCCGCCGCUCGUGCCGCUGCUUCCGCCGCGUCGCCGCCGUCUCUGCCGGAGAAGAUAAGUCCUUUCCCCUUUCCUACUUAUUCCCCUUUUCUCUCUUUUCUAAAUCUAAAACUCAAUUAAUCUUUCUCCUCUCCUCCCAAUGUCUGACAGAAAAAAGAAAAGGCGGCGGCUUGCCGCCGAGCCGUCGCCGUCGCCGUCGCCGGCCCUGAGCAGCCGUCGGCUGCUCUCACUCCUCCCUCCGUCCCCGAUCACACACAAUAAAGACACAAGAAGGCUCAAUUUCAGUCCAGAUUCACAUAUAGAAAGUUAGGGUUUUGUUUAGAAAUUCUGUUCUUUCAUCAUUUCUUUUUAUCAGAUCUUGAAAUUCUUGUAAUUGUAAUAGUUAGGUGAAAAUAAUGAUUAUGAGUGUGUGUUUGUUUGUUGGUGGUCCUCUGAUGCUUGAUAAGAUGAUGUAAUUGAAGCAACAAUAAUCUAAAAGAAGUUGUUUAUGCUGGAAAUAACCUUGAAGAGGCAGAUGAGGAUUUGUGGCUUCUGCAUAAAUGAUGCUAGGUGUUAGAAUGU
rnacentral:lncRNA from 1 species